rnacentral:rRNA from 1 species
GGGCCCGCACAAGCGGCGGAGCAUGUUGCUUAAUUCGAUGCAACGCGAAGAACCUUACCUAGGCUUGACAUGCACGGAAAUCUCGUAGAGAUACGGGGUGCCUUUGGCGUCGUGCACAGGUGGUGCAUGGUUGUCGUCAGCUCGUGUCGUGAGAUGUUGGGUUAAGUCCCGCAACGAGCGCAACCCUCGUUCUAUGUUGCCAGCACGUGAUGGUGGGGACUCAUAGGAGACUGCCGGGGUCAACUCGGAGGAAGGUGGGGAUGACGUCAAAUCAUCAUGCCCCUUAUGUCUAGGGCUGCAAACAUGCUACAAUGGCCGGUACAAAGGGCUGCGAUACCGCGAGGUGGAGCGAAUCCCAAAAAGCCGGUCUCAGUUCGGAUUGGGGUCUGCAACUCGACCCCAUGAAGUUGGAGUCGCUAGUAAUCGCAGA